UGCAGUCGAGCGGACAGAUGGGAGCUUGCUCCCUGAUGUUAGCGGCGGACGGGUGAGUAACACGUGGGUAACCUGCCUGUAAGACUGGGAUAACUCCGGGAAACCGGGGCUAAUACCGGAUGCUUGUUUGAACCGCAUGGUUCAAACAUAAAAGGUGGCUUCGGCUACCACUUACAGAUGGACCCGCGGCGCAUUAGCUAGUUGGUGAGGUAAUGGCUCACCAAGGCAACGAUGCGUAGCCGACCUGAGAGGGUGAUCGGCCACACUGGGACUGAGACACGGCCCAGACUCCUACGGGAGGCAGCAGUAGGGAAUCUUCCGCAAUGGACGAAAGUCUGACGGAGCAACGCCGCGUGAGUGAUGAAGGUUUUCGGAUCGUAAAGCUCUGUUGUUAGGGAAGAACAAGUACCGUUCGAAUAGGGCGGUACCUUGACGGUACCUAACCAGAAAGCCACGGCUAACUACGUGCCAGCAGCCGCGGUAAUACGUAGGUGGCAAGCGUUGUCCGGAAUUAUUGGGCGUAAAGGGCUCGCAGGCGGUUUCUUAAGUCUGAUGUGAAAGCCCCCGGCUCAACCGGGGAGGGUCAUUGGAAACUGGGGAACUUGAGUGCAGAAGAGGAGAGUGGAAUUCCACGUGUAGCGGUGAAAUGCGUAGAGAUGUGGAGGAACACCAGUGGCGAAGGCGACUCUCUGGUCUGUAACUGACGCUGAGGAGCGAAAGCGUGGGGAGCGAACAGGAUUAGAUACCCUGGUAGUCCACGCCGUAAACGAUGAGUGCUAAGUGUUAGGGGGUUUCCGCCCCUUAGUGCUGCAGCUAACGCAUUAAGCACUCCGCCUGGGGAGUAC
rnacentral:rRNA from 1 species